rnacentral:rRNA from 1 species
UACGGAGGGUGCAAGCGUUAUCCGGAUUUCUUGGGUUUAAAGGGUGCGCAGGCGGGGCCUUAAGUCAGUGGUGAAAUCCCUUCGCUUAACGAAGGAACUGCCAUUGAUACUGAGGUUCUUGAAUCUAGUUGACGUUAGUGGAAUGUGUCAUGUAGCGGUGAAAUGCUUAGAUAUGACACAGAACACCGAUCGCGAAGGCAGCUAACGAAGCUAGUAUUGACGCUCAGGCACGACAGCAUGGGGAGCAAACAGG